UUCUUCUAUAAAUCGAUUAUGAUUGGCUAAUUUCUUACCGCUACCGGCAUAAGUUAACGGUUACGGCCUGCAUAAAACAGGCUUUACAUAUGAUGAAUUCCUUUUGUCUUUUUUAUUCAAAGAAUUGCUGUUUACAAAGGUGCAGGCAAUUCUCCUGAUUACAAAUAUCGCUGUUACAUUACGAUCUUUCAAGAAUUGAAUAGAAAAUUAAUGCGGUUACGCAGAAAAAUCUAUAAUCCGCGAUUUUCUGAAGUGUGUAAAAGGCAUACAUCUUCACAUAUUUAAUUUAUAGAAUAUCCUCCGAAAGAGUUUCAGCUGACACCGAUGUAUGUCAAGAAAGCUUUCAAAGAAUCGCUGUUUAAAGAGAUGGAAGCAAAUCUUCUGAUUACAAAUAUUGCUGUUACAUUAAUUGAGAUCAUUCACCAGGAAUUGAAAAGAAAAUUAAUGAAGACGGUUACGCAAGAAAAUCUAUCCGACAUUUUCUAAAGUCUGUAAAAGGCGUUGUAGAUUUUCACAUAUAUAAUUAUAAUAGAAUGACCAUACAAGAGAGGUUAAGUUGGCACCGAUGUACGUUAAGAAAGCUUUGUUGAAAUAUAAAAUUGAGUGAGCUAUCAAUAAAAAAAUUGUUUAUUUUUGGGUGAUAUUUAACGUAAAUCGAAAUGUAAUUUUUCCACAAAAUUUUUGAUUUGUAAAGAUUACGACAUGCCAUACCAAAUGAUUUAUACUUUGUUGUAAAAAAUUUGCUUCAUAUUCUUGUUACGUUCAUCGGGAAGCGUAAAGAAACGUUUCUAUAGAAAUUUUUUAAGAUGGGACGGAUAGGACGGCCUUGUAAGGUUUCUAAUCGAGAAGCAAUUCUGCUAUUUCAGAAAUAUAUGCAAUAUUUGAAUACCAAUAAUUUUCCUUCGAGUUCUGCAAAAGUUUGGAAAGACAUGAGCAAAGAUCUAAAUGGAAGAUGGAAACUGCAUUCAGUUUAUACACAUGUGACAGAAAAUAAAAAUGGGAAUUUUCAAGCAGCUCGUCAGAACGGGAAGGUAGCGUACAGUACUAUUGCACACAAGCCACUCACAACCACUCAUAGCGCUUGAACAGAAGAAUAUCUCUAGGCACCAGCCGCUGUGAUUGGCUGUGUGCAAUAGUACUGUGCGCUAUCGGUACCUUCCCCGUCAGAACUUGGGUAUAAAUAUCCAACCUCCUAUGUUCAAAACCGUUGAAGAUGUUACCGUUAAGGAAUCAUCAGGGAAUUCUGAGUUGGAUGAAUCAUCUUUCGACGAGAAUGAAGACGUUGAUGUUGAUUUCUUCCCUCUAGUUCUUUCACCUACAGAGUGGGAACAAAUAAAGCCCGAGCAGAUUUCUAAUCAAAAAAGAUAAAAAUCAUGGGUUUGGCCAAAUGUAAUCACAAAAGCAUUUUGGAAUAUGUACAAAUUUCCAUGUGCUUUUCUGGGCAAAUGGUCGUACGUGCGCAUGGAACUUGAGGACGUAAAUAAAAAUAAUGUUGAAUCUUCCUCUGAUUUCUAUUUAAAGUUUAAAGGAUUAUGUAAAAGCAAGAAAUGUAGUAACAAAAUUGUUGGUGUUGCCGACAAAAAAUCUGUCAAUGGAAAACUACACUUAAUAAUCAGAACAUGUGAUACUCGUAAUGAUUAUCAUGAAGAAGUUAAGAGACCAUUGCAUGGUCCCGAAAGGAAAAUAAUUGGACGAAAAUUAAAACGAAAAAGAGUCGCAGGAUAUCAGCAAAAAUUAUUUGCGGAGAAUAUGGAAUUUGGAGAGAACGAACCACCGUGGGUACAAAAAUGUCAUAUUUACAGACAAGCAAAGAUGGAAUGUAACAAGAAAGAUCUCGGUAUUAAAUUAGGCGAAAAAAUGGAUAUGAUAACAAGCAUCCGUAAUAUGUUACGAGACAUCCGAUACAGCAAUUCUAUCCACGAUAUUGGAGCAAAGAAAUUUUUUACUGCAGCCCAGAACAAAUUUUUGUAGAAAAAGAAUACUGCCGAAUAAAGAAGGGAUUUUCCCGAAUUUGUUAAAUGCCACGAGUAAAGUGGUAGAAAAAUUUGAAAUUUUUUCAGGGUGAAAAACUGGCCACAUAUUUUUAUACACAAUUACCAUCAAUUUUGAGGGUAAAACUCUUCCUGUGUAUCAAAUGUUGUCAGAAAAACGUGACGCAGCUUUCAUCACGUAUUGGCUUCAAAAAUGAAUACGAACAUGUAAAGCAACGAUACCAAACGAAUCUACAGUUGAUUUAGGACGUGCUUUAUUACUGGCCAUGUGUGAAACAUUUAACCGCAUGACACUAAAAGAAUAUGUUGACGUUUUAUUCAAAUGGGCAACGAAAGACAGUCAUAAAACACCUCGUCCAUUUAACACUCUAAUAAGAGCGGAUGUGGCUCAUUUAAUGGCUGCUGUCGCUAGAUGGAAAUGUAUUAAAGAUCUACGCCAUCCUGCUGCUAAAGGUUUUUAUCUUCAUACAAUUGCUUUAAUGAUUGACUGCCAAACAGUGCAAGAGUUUGAACAUGUAUUUCGAUUGACAAGUAUUGUUGCAUUACAUCCUGAUCAAGAUGACAGUGUAAUGAUGUCAGAAAAACAAAUGUCAGUUUUUGUAGCUAGACGCCUUCUGGAGGAGUACAUCACUGAACGUGGACAGAUUAUCAAGAAAUUAGAGACAUCGAAAGAGAACGUCGAAGUUGAUGACAAAGUAAAAAAUACUUUGAAUUUAGCUGAAGAAAAAGAUAAUUAGAAUUUAACCCUCACUCAUCAAUGGAUCAAAAGGCUUAUUUCCAUUUCAACACCUUCUAAUCAGCAAAAGCAGCUGGAGUGCAAGGCUGUAAAUGGUUUUUAUCUUCCGGAAUUCAUACAGCCACUUGAACGAAUUGCCAAAGAGUUUCCUAUAUGGACUGCAGCAACUUUUCCUGGCAUACAAUCACAUGCGUCGACAGCUUCUCAAGAAGGAUAUUUUGCUGAAAUGAGGAAAAGAAUUUUUGAAGGUAUUGCUUUACCGUGUUCUGCAAUUCGAUUUUUGAAAGAGCAUAUUAAUGACUUAUAUUCUGGCACUAAUGAGGUAGCAACGAAAUUGAAACAUUUUAAUCACAAUUAUAAGCAGCUGGUACCAACGACGUAUACAUCAGAGAAAGGAUUAUGAUUAGCCUCGCAAAAACCAGCUCGAACUCAACAUUCAUCCACUAAAAAAUCAGAAUCAAUUUGGCAAAAAGCUGUUUCAACUUCGUGUUCAUUUGACGAACUAAGAUUCUUGUCGCAAGGAUUUGCACCAACUUCAUGUUCAUUUGACAGUGAAUUAGGAAAUUUUUUACAAGAUCCAACUCCAGCUGCAUGUAUAUCAUUAGAUCAACAUUUAGAAUUCUCUCCCCAAAUGUCCGUACCACCGCAAUGUUCAGCAGAUAUUGAGUCUUCAGUACGAAAACCAAUAUUAAAUUCAGCAGACAGAAAAGUAAAAUCCUCAUCGCAAAAGUCAUAUAUACAUAUGAAUUUUGAUUCAAUAAGUUUAUUGCGCGAAAGGGCUCGCAUGGUGAAUGACUCUGAUUUGAAGAGUAGUGAAGCGUGGAUAGGAUUUGUCAAUGAAAAUAGUUUUUUUGCAGACGUUAAUGAACGAAGUCCUGAAAACCAAAAAAAAUAAAAAAAUAUUCAAGAUACUUCUGAAAUUCUUUCUGAAUUACUCGAUUUUGAAAGUACCCUUACAGAAAUGAACUAUUGUAACUAUUAGUAAAACUAUUAAUAAAACUAUUGGAUUAUUCGUCAUAGUUUCUUCGCGGAUUAUUGGGACAAACUAUUACACAGAACUAUUGAAAAAUUGUU